CCCCUCUCAGGAUCACACCUGGAGAGUUUCUGGUUCUCUACCAGUCCCAGCUACAGGAGGAAGAGUCAAGCAGAGGCUUAUCCAUUCCAUUCCUAGCUUGGGCAGUGGCUAGCGAGUGGAAGGCAAUCUGCUACAAAU